rnacentral:rRNA from 1 species
GGUUAAGCGAUUAAGCGUACACGGUGGAUGCCCUGGCAGUCAGAGGCGAUGAAGGGCGUGCUAAUCUGCGAUAAGCGCCGGUAAGGUGAUAUGAACCGUUAUAACCGGCGAUACCCGAAUGGGGAAACCCAGUGUGACUCGUCACACUAUCAUUAACUGAAUCCAUAGGUUAAUGAGGCGAACCGGGGGAACUGAAACAUCUAAGUACCCCGAGGAAAAGAAAUCAACCGAGAUUCCCCCAGUAGCGGCGAGCGAACGGGGAGGAGCCCAGAGCCUGAAUCAGCAUGUGUGUUAGUGGAAGCGUCUGGAAAGGCGCGCGAUACAGGGUGACAGCCCCGUACACAAAAGCGCAUGUGCUGUGAGCUCGAUGAGUAGGGCGGGACACGUGGUAUCCUGUCUGAAUAUGGGGGGACCAUCCUCCAAGGCUAAAUACUCCUGACUGACCGAUAGUGAACCAGUACCGUGAGGGAAAGGCGAAAAGAACCCCGGCGAGGGGAGUGAAAAAGAACCUGAAACCGU